GACGAACGCUGGCGGCGUGCUUAACACAUGCAAGUCGAACGGAAGGGCCCUGCUUUUGUGGGGUGCUCGAGUGGCGAACGGGUGAGUAACACGUGAGUAACCUGCCCUUGACUUUGGGAUAACUUCAGGAAACUGGGGCUAAUACCGGAUAGGAGCUCCUGCUGCAUGGUGGGGGUUGGAAAGUUUCGGCGGUUGGGGAUGGACUCGCGGCUUAUCAGCUUGUUGGUGGGGUAGUGGCUGACCAAGGCUUUGACGGGUAGCCGGCCUGAGAGGGUGACCGGCCACAUUGGGACUGAGAUACGGCCCAGACUCCUACGGGAGGCAGCAGUGGGGAAUAUUGCACAAUGGGCGGAAGCCUGAUGCAGCAACGCCGCGUGCGGGAUGACGGCCUUCGGGUUGUAAACCGCUUUCGCCUGUGACGAAGCGUGAGUGACGGUAAUGGGUAAAGAAGCACCGGCUAACUACGUG
rnacentral:rRNA from 1 species